ACAAGAACGUGAUCAUCGAAGAAGAAUAAGAAGAAGACGAAACCGCCAUUACAGUUCUUACCCAGUAUUGCACCGAUGCGAAUUUCAGAGGAUUUCUACCCCUACUGGGGUAGAACGUGAUGCAUUACAGUUCUUACAAAUCUCACGUUUGCUCUGUUCUUCACUCAUCUUGAGCUAUUAGUUUAAGUUAAGCCUUUCAUUACGCUUCUCUGUUUCUUUGAGGUUUCCCAUUCUGGUUAUCUCUUUUCAGUUCCUUUCAUGGCUAUUUGGUUUUGAUUUAUCUGUUUUUGGACCAUAUUUUCCUUGCGCUUUGGUUUCUUUCCUUGUAUUUUCCUUUUCCAUUUGUUAACGAAGUCUGCAAUUGUUGAUUUAGGUGCUGGAUUUGCUUCGAAGAGCAAGUAUAUGUUUGGGAAAACAACAAUACAGAUCAAACUCGUUCAAGGAGACUCUGCAGGAACUGUAACUGCAUUUUACAUGUCAUCAGAUGGUCCAAAUCACAACGAAUUCGACUUUGAGUUUCUGGGGAACACAACCGGCGAGCCUUAUCUAGUUCAGACGAACAUAUACGUGAACGGAGUGGGUAACAGAGAGCAGCGUUUGAACCUCUGGUUCGAUCCCACCAAA